CCAGGGGAUGCUUAAUACGGCGAGUGAGCGGUAAAAGCUCAAAUUUGAAAUCCGCGUACUUUCUGUGCCCGAAUUGUAAUUUGUACAAGUUGUCUUUGAUUAAGUCCUUGGCUAUGUUCCUUGCAACAGGACGACAUACCAGGGUGACAAUCCCGCUCGGCCAGCAUACCUUUUCUCUGUCAGACUUUUUCGAAAAGGCGAGUUGUUUGGGAAUGCAACUUCAAAGUGGGUGGUAAAUUCCAUCUAAAGCUAAAUAUUGGCGAGAGACCGAAGCGAAGAUGUACAGUGAUGGAAAGAUGAAAAGAACUUUGAAAAGAAAGUGAAAAAGUGCGUGGAAUUGUUGAAAGGGAAGGGCAUGUGAUCACACCUGGUGUUUUUUGCAUGCACUCGCCUCUGAGGGCUUGGGCCUCUAAAAAUUCCACUGGGCCAACAUCAAUUCUGGCCGCAGGAUAAAUCAUUAAGAAGGUAGCUACUUGGGUGCUGUUCUACCUUUCUGAAAAACGGACCACCGGGAUUGAGGACUGCGCUUCGGCAAGGAUGUUGGCUAAUGGUUAAAUGCCGCCCGUCUAAAAACGGACCAAUCCAAAAAAAAACAAAAAAAAAAAAAAAAAAAAAAAA
rnacentral:rRNA from 1 species